AUUAUCAAAACAAAUCAGAAUGUGUAAAAUGUGCGUGCACAAAUUAUCUCAAGUUUUUCUGUCAGGUAAAGUUUGUUUUUGAAAAAUCUAAUUUAAUAAAAUAGUUCAGCUGCAUUGCUUGCUCACCCUCCAAACCUGUAUGAAAUAAGAAGAUUUUUGAAGAAUCUUCAAACUGCUCUUUUACAGCAGUUCAUAGUAACCAUGACUGUCAAAUUUCAGACAGGAUUAAAAUAAAAAAGUAAAAACACACACACACAAAAA